CUCUGAGACAGUCUGCUGAAGUUGUGAAGACCUGACGGUGAAAUCACUGAAACCAUGAUCAAGGUUGUGUUUCUGCUUGGAUGCCUGCUGAGCCUUGCUCUGGCAAAUCCUAAUGACUCAGCACAUGAGCGUGAUGCACGUUCUUCAUCUAGGGAGGGGACUACUGGGACUACCACAAAUUCUCUUGCCCUGCUAACAGCUCUUCUACAGAAUCCAACACUUCUGCAGAAUCCAACGCUCCUUGCAGCGCUUCUUGCCGCUCUACGAUAAGCUGCUCCUUCACCAACAGCUACUACUGUUACAAAGAAUGAAUUGAAAAUGAACCAACAAUGAAUAAAAACCUAUG